rnacentral:tRNA from 1 species
GGAGGGUAUAGCUCAGUGGUAGAGUGCAUGCUUAGCAUGCAUGAGGUCCUGGGUUCAAUCCCCAGUACCUCUA